CUCACGUAGUUCUGAGGAUGGCUUUUAAAACCUGCCUCACAGACCUAGGCAGGGGAGGAUGGUAUACAGCCCACCCUACUUGGGUAAAAUUGGGUAUGCAUGCAUGCACUUUUGAGUGGUUGGAGCAAAGGAAGAGGAAUCUCUCCAAGCUGGCCAGACAGCUGAUGUGCUGUGCAGUUGGAUGCUGGUGGACACCAGUCUGGGUUGGGGAGUAUACGGCAGUGAGCCUCCCCCACUUGCAUGAAAGGUGAAAGAAUAAGAAGAAAGGAGAAAGAAGAAGAGAAGGAAGAAGACGAAGAGGAAAAAGAGGAGAAGAGGAUGAAGAGGAAGAAGAAGGAGGAGGAGGAAGAAGAAGGAGGAGGAGGAGGAAGAAGAAGGAGGAGGAAGAAGGAGGAGGAGGAGGAAGAAGAAGGAGGAGGAGGAGGAAGAAGAAGGAGGAGGA
rnacentral:lncRNA from 1 species